AUCAUAUGCUUGUCUCAAAGAUUAAGCCAUGCAUGUCUAAGUGCAAGCCUCAUUAAGGUGAAACCGCGAAUGGCUCAUUAUAUCAGUUAUGGUUCCUUAGAUAGUACGUCCACAAUUACUUGGAUAACUGUGGUAAUUCUAGAGCUAAUACAUGCAAUUCGAAUUCCUCCCGGAGACGGGGGGAAUGCUUUUAUUAGAUCAAAACUAAUCGGCGCGGCGCGCGUUCGCGCGUGCCCGCCGUUGGGAUUGGUGACUCUGGAUAACUUUCCGCAGAUCGCACGGCCUCGCGCCGGCGACGUAUCUUUCAAAUGUCUGACUUAUCAACUGUCGAUGGUAGUUUAUGCGACUACCAUGGUUGUAACGGGUAACGGGGAAUCAGGGUUCGAUUCCGGAGAGGGAGCCUGAGAAACGGCUACCACAUCCAAGGAAGGCAGCAGGCGCGCAAAUUACCCAAUCCCGGCACGGGGAGGUAGUGACGAAAAAUAACGAUACGGGACUCAUCCGAGGCCCCGUGAUCGGAAUGAGAACAACGUAAACGAAUUAACGAGGAACAAUUGGAGGGCAAGUCUGGUGCCAGCAGCCGCGGUAAUUCCAGCUCCAAUAGCGUAUAUUAAAGUUGUUGCGGUUAAAAAGCUCGUAGUUUGAUCUGUGUCCGGCGCUGUUGGUACUCCGCCCGCGGAGAUAACCGGCAAUGCCGUCGGACGUCCCGCCGGUGGGCGCGGUCCGCGGUGCGCGCUUCCCUCGCGGUCGCGUGCGCCCGGGCGGCCCAAUUUGUAUAAAAUCCUGUCGCCGGUGUCCUUCAUCGGACGCCGGAGUCGGGCCGGCAUGUUUACUUUGAACAAAUUAGAGUGCUUAAAGCAGGCAAAAACCCAAGCCUGGAUACUGCGUGCAUGGAAUAAUAGAAUAGGACCCCGGUUCCAUUUUGUUGGUUUUCGGAACACCCGAGGUAAUGAUUAAUUGGGACAACUGGGGGCAUCCGUAUUGUUGCGUUAGAGGUGAAAUUCUUGGAUCGUAGCAAGACGUACUAAAGCGAAAGCAUUUGCCAAAAGUGUUUUCAUCAAUCAAGAACGAAAGUUAGAGGUUCGAAGGCGAUCAGAUACCGCCCUAGUUCUAACCAUAAAUGUUGCCAGCCAGCGAUCCGCCGAAGUUCCUUUUGUUGACUCGGUGGGCAGCUUCCCGGGAAACCAAAGCUUUUGGGUUCCGGGGGAAGUAUGGUUGCAAAGCUGAAACUUAAAGGAAUUGACGGAAGGGCACCACCAGGAGUGGAGCCUGCGGCUUAAUUUGACUCAACACGGGAAACCUCACCAGGCCCAGACACCGGAAGGAUUUACAGAUUGAGAGCUCUUUAUUGAUUUGGUGGGUGGUGGUGCAUGGCCGUUCUUAGUUGGUGGAGCGAUUUGUCUGGUUAAUUCCGAUUACGAAGGGAUCAACGUGUUGUCUUCCCUGGCCCGAGAGGGUCGGGUAGCCCGAUGAAACCCCUUCGUGAUUGGGAUUGGGGUCUGCAAUUGCUCCCCAUGAACGAGGAAUUCCUAGUAAACGCAAGUCAUUAGCUUGCGUUGAUUACGUCCCUGCCCUUUGUACACACCGCCCGUCGCUACUACCGAUUGAAUGAUUUAGUGAGGUCUUCGGAUCGGCGCUCGGCGGCGUUUCGGCGCCGCUCGUUGUCGCCGAAAAGAUGACCGAACUUGGUUAUUUAGAGGAAGUAAAAGUCGUAACAAGGUUUCCGUAGGUG
rnacentral:rRNA from 1 species